rnacentral:rRNA from 1 species
UACGAAGGGGGCUAGCGUUGUUCGGAAUUACUGGGCGUAAAGCGCACGUAGGCGGAUAUUUAAGUCAGGGGUGAAAUCCCAGAGCUCAACUCUGGAACUGCCUUUGAUACUGGGUAUCUUGAGUAUGGAAGAGGUUAGUGGAAUUGCGAGUGUAGAGGUGAAAUUCGUAGAUAUUCGCAGGAACGCCAGUGGCGAAGGCGGCUAACUGGUCCAUAACUGACGCUGAGGUGCGAAAGCGUGGGGAGCAAACAGG